UACGUAGGGGGCGAGCGUUGUCCGGAGUUACUGGGCGUAAAGCGCACGCAGGCGGUCUGCUAAGUUUGGAGUGACAGUUGGUGGCUUAACUGCCAAAGUGCUUCGAAAACUGACAGACUUGAGGGCUUCAGAGGGAUGGGGAAUUCCGGGUGGAGUGGUGAAAUGCGUAGAGAUCCGGAAGAACACCAAAGGCGAAGGCACCAUCCUGGGGAGUCACUGACGCUCGGGUGCGAAAGCUAGGGGAGCGAACGGG
rnacentral:rRNA from 1 species